rnacentral:rRNA from 1 species
GAAGGUGAUCUAUCCAUGGCCAGGAUGAAGGUUGGGUAACACCAGCUGGAGGUCCGAACCGACUAGUGUUGCAAAACUAGCGGAUGAGCUGUGGAUGGGGGUGAAAGGCUAAUCAAACCUGGAAAUAGCUGGUUCUCCCCGAAAACUAUUUAGGUAGUGCGUCAUGUAUUGCUCCAGGGGGUAGAGCACUGUAAUGGUUGUAGGGGCCAUCGCGGCUUACUACGCCAUAGCAAACUCCGAAUACCUGGAAGUAUGAGCAUGGCAGACAGUCAUCGGGUGCUAACGUCCGGUGGCAAGAGGGAAACAACCCAGACCUACAGCUAAGGUCCCAAAGCAUGGCUAAGUGGGAAACGAAGUGGGAAGGCUAAAACAGUCAGGAUGUUGGCUUAGAAGCAGCCAUCAUUUAAAGAAAGCGUAAUAGCUCACUGAUCGAGUCGUCCUGCGCGGAAGAUGUAACGGGGCUAAGCCAUGCACCGAAGCUUAGGCUGCACACGCAAGUGUGCGGGGUAGGGGAGC